rnacentral:rRNA from 1 species
GACAGAGGUGCCAAGCGUUAGGCGGAAUCAUUGGGCUUAAAGCGUGUGUAGGCGGAUUCCUAAGUACUUUGUGAAAUCCCACGGCUUAACCGUGGAACUGCUCGGUAUACUGGGUAUCUUGAGCCACUUAGGGGCGACCGGAACAAAUGGUGGAGCGGUGAAAUGCGCAGAUAUCGGGAGGAACACCAGUGGCGAAGGCGGUCUCUUGGGGCAUUCUUGACGCUGAGGCGCGAAAGCUGGGGGAGCGAACGGG